rnacentral:lncRNA from 1 species
CUCAUGACAUUGCAAUCUUCUCAGCUAAAUUAGGGUUUUUCACUUUUUCUGUUGGAUUGAUCUGUGAAUGUUUGUUUAUUAUUGGGUUGAUUAGUUGUUUAAUUAACGAAAAGGAUAUUGAGCAGCUCGCUCUACGAUCAAGUUCAGAAAGUGUCGACCCUAUCUGUUUAUAAUAUGGCCAAGUAUCCUUGUUUUAUAAUCAUCAUAUAGUUUCUUAUCAAUCAUCAUUACAUGUAACUGAUGUAAGGAAAAUUCUAAAUGGAUAUGCAUCGAUCACUCUCAUUAAUUUGUUUAGUGAGGAGCCCUUGUCCUAAGAACCAUAGAUGCAUUUGAACUAAGAUAGGUAUUUUUGCAAUAUUUAGUG